UACGUAGGGGGCGAGCGUUGUCCGGAUUUAUUGGGCGUAAAGAGCGUGUAGGCGGCCAGACAGGUCCGUUGUGAAAACUCGAGGCUCAACCUCGAGAUGUCGAUGGAAACCGUCUGGCUAGAGUCCGGAAGAGGAGUGUGGAAUUCCUGGUGUAGCGGUGAAAUGCGCAGAUAUCAGGAAGAACACCUAUGGCGAAGGCAGCACUCUGGGACGGUACUGACGCUGAGACGCGAAAGCGUAGGGAGCGAACAGG
rnacentral:rRNA from 1 species